AGCGAGCGCUGGCGGCAGGCCUAAUACAUGCAAGUCGAACGGCUCUUCGGAGCAGUGGCGGACGGGUGAGUAACGCGUGGGAACGUGCCCUUUGGUUCGGAACAACACAGGGAAACUUGUGCUAAUACCGAAUGUGCCCUUCGGGGGAAAGAUUUAUCGCCUUUAGAGCGGCCCGCGUCUGAUUAGCUAGUUGGUGAGGUAAAGGCUCACCAAGGCUACGAUCAGUAGCUGGUCUGAGAGGAUGACCAGCCACAUUGGGACUGAGACACGGCCCAAACUCCUACGGGAGGCAGCAGUGGGGAAUCUUGCGCAAUGGGCGAAAGCCUGACGCAGCCAUGCCGCGUGGAUGAUGAAGGUCUUAGGAUUGUAAAAUCCUUUCACUGGUGAAGAUAAUGACUGUAGCCGGAGAAGAAGCCCCGGCUAACUUCGUGCCAGCCGCCGCAGUAAUAC
rnacentral:rRNA from 1 species